rnacentral:snRNA from 1 species
GCCUUCGGGCAUUUGGUCAAUUUGAAACAAUACAGAGAAGAUUAGCAUGGCCCCUGCACUAAGGAUGACACAUGCAAACAAAGAGAGUAAAAAGUUUUUC